UACGGGGGGGGCAAGCGUUGUUCGGAAUUACUGGGCGUAAAGGGCUCGUCGGCGGCCAACUAAGUCAGACGUGAAAUCCCUCGGCUUAACCGGGGAACUGCGUCUGAUACUGGAUGGCUUGAGUUUGGGAGAGGGAUGCGGAAUUCCAGGUGUAGCGGUGAAAUGCGUAGAUAUCUGGAGGAACACCGGUGGCGAAGGCGGCAUCCUGGACCAACACUGACGCUGAGGAGCGAAAGCCAGGGGAGCAAACGGG
rnacentral:rRNA from 1 species